UAGGCAGUAGCUGAGUAGUGGAGCUCCCGUUUCAUAUGCGGGAAGACCUGGGUUCGACUCCGGGCUGCUUAC
rnacentral:tRNA from 1 species